AUACGUAGGUGACAAGCGUUAUCCGGAUUUACUGGGCGUAAAGGGCGUGUAGGCGGUCUUGCAAGUCAGAAGUGAAAUUCCUGAGCUCAACUCGGGCGCUGCUUCUGAAACUGCAGGACUUGAGUGCUGGAGGGGAUAGCGGAAUUCCUAGUGGAGCGGUAAAAUGCGCAGAUAUUAGGAAGAACACCGGUGGCGAAGGCGGCUAUCUGGACAGUAACUGACGCUGAGGCGCGAAAGCGAGGGGAGCAAACAGGAUUAGAUACCCUGGUAGUCCACGCCGUAAACAAUGAAUACUAGGUGUAGGGGGUAUCGACUCCCUCUGUGCCGCAGUUAACACAAUAAGUAUUCCGCCUGGGAGUACGGCCGCAAGGUUGAAACUCAAAUGAAUUGGCGGGG
rnacentral:rRNA from 1 species